UACGAAGGGGGCUAGCGUUGCUCGGAAUCACUGGGCGUAAAGGGUGCGUAGGCGGUUCUUUAAGUCAGGGGUGAAAUCCUGGAGCUCAACUCCAGAACUGCCUUUGAUACUGAGGAUCUUGAGUUCGGGAGAGGUGAGUGGAACUGCGAGUGUAGAGGUGAAAUUCGUAGAUAUUCGCAAGAACACCAGUGGCGAAGGCGGCUCACUGGCCAGAUACUGACGCUGAGGCACGAAAGCGUGGGGAGCAAACAGG
rnacentral:rRNA from 1 species